rnacentral:rRNA from 1 species
AGAGUUUGAUCCUGGCUCAGGAUGAACGCUAGCUACAGGCUUAACACAUGCAAGUCGAGGGGCAGCAUGAACUUAGCUUGCUAAGUUUGAUGGCGACCGGCGCACGGGUGAGUAACACGUAUCCAACCUGCCGAUGACUCGGGGAUAGCCUUUCGAAAGAAAGAUUAAUACCCGAUGGCAUAGUUCUUCCGCAUGGUGGAACUAUUAAAGAAUUUCGGUCAUCGAUGGGGAUGCGUUCCAUUAGGUUGUUGGCGGGGUAACGGCCCACCAAGCCUUCGAUGGAUAGGGGUUCUGAGAGGAAGGUCCCCCACAUUGGAACUGAGACACGGUCCAAACUCCUACGGGAGGCAGCAGUGAGGAAUAUUGGUCAAUGGGCGAUGGCCUGAACCAGCCAAGUAGCGUGAAGGAUGACUGCCCUAUGGGUUGUAAACUUCUUUUAUAAAGGAAUAAAGUCGGGUAUGCAUACCCGUUUGCAUGUACUUUAUGAAUAAGGAUCGGCUAACUCCGUGCCAGCAGCCGC